AUUGAACGCUGGCGGCAGGCCUAACACAUGCAAGUCGAACGGUAACAGGAAGCAGCUUGCUGCUUUGCUGACGAGUGGCGGACGGGUGAGUAAUGUCUGGGAAACUGCCCGAUGGAGGGGGAUAACUACUGGAAACGGUAGCUAAUACCGCAUAACGUCGCAAGACCAAAGAGGGGGACCUUAGGGCCUCUUGCCAUCGGAUGUGCCCAGAUGGGAUUAGCUAGUAGGUGGGGUAACGGCUCACCUAGGCGACGAUCCCUAGCUGGUCUGAGAGGAUGACCGGCCACACUGGAACUGAGACACGGUCCAGACUCCUACGGGAGGCAGCAGUGGGGAAUAUUGCGCAAUGGGCGCAAGCCUGAUGCAGCCAUGCCGCGUGUAUGAAGAAGGCCUUCGGGUUGUAAAGUACUUUCAGCGGGGAGGAAGGGAGUAAAGUUGAUACCUUUGCUCAUUGACGUUACCCGCAGAAGAAGCACCGGCUAACUCCGUG
rnacentral:rRNA from 1 species